AGGACGAACGCUGGCGGCGCGCUUAACACAUGCAAGUCGAGCGAGAACCAUUCCUUCGGGAGUGGGGACAGCGGCGAACGGGUGAGUAACACGUGGGUAAUCUGCCCUCGAUUCUGGGAUAGCCCGGGGGAAACCCGGAUUAAUACCGGAUAGCCUCUCGAGCUUUCGAGCUCUUGAGAAAAGGUAGCUUCGGCCUCCGAUCGAGGAUGAGCCCGCGGCGGAUUAGCUUGUUGGUGGGGUAAUGGCCUACCAAGGCAACGAUCCGUAGCUGGUCUGAGAGGACGAUCAGCCACACUGGGACUGAGACACGGCCCAGACUCCUACGGGAGGCAGCAGUGGGAAUCUUGCGCAAGUGGGACGAAAGCCUAGACGCAGCGACGCCGCGGUGGGGAAGAAGGCCGUUGGUUGUAAACCUCUUUCAGCACGGACGAAGCCGACGU
rnacentral:rRNA from 1 species